CUACUGUGUGGGCUGGGGGACAGCCACAGCCAUCCCUCCCAGCCGCAGUCCCGGCGGAUCCUCACUUGCCCGAGGGCUACGUGAGGACUAGGCCCAGUCGCCAGCUCAGAGGACACUCGAUCUCCUGCCCCCUGGGACUGACACCAUCAUCCCAAGGUGAUCCCCAGCCCCAGCCCUGGCAGGCUCAGCGCUGGCGCAGUGGGCCAGGACUGAGCUAGAAACUGGCAGCUCCCAGGGCACACAGCCAGGCCAACUUCCCACACAGGGCUCCGCCCCCUCACUUCGGGGCAGGGGUCCAGGCAGAAUCAGGGAUGUUGAGUCAUUCUUCCUUUUAUGCCCAGAGUUCCUGACCCACCCCCACUCUGCACCUAGCACAAUCAGAACAUUUCACUCAAGACAGAAAACGUGAAAUGUCACACUAGUGGGGCACCCAGGCUGGGUUGUGCACCCUGUGUGCCACCAUAUAUUUCUCACCUAAAGGUGGGGGCAUCGCUGUGGACAAAGAGAAACCCAAGGGGACAAUCUGGGAUGUUCCCAGUAGUUUCCCAGGCUAGGGUGUUAGAACAGGGAGAGGAAGGCCUGGGUCUCCAAUAAGCCCCCAUCACCUCCU
rnacentral:lncRNA from 1 species